UUCGAAAACAACUAGAAAAAAGUUGUUGACAUAUAAGAAGCUGAGUGGUAAGAUAAUAAAGCUGCUUCAACAAGCGGUAAUGAUCUUUGAAAACUAAACAAGACAAAACGUACCUGUUAAUUCAAAGUUUUAAAUAAAUCGCACAGUGAUGUGCGUAGUCAGUCAAACUAUCGAGACACGGCCCAGACUCCUACGGGAGGCAGCAGUAGGGAAUCUUCCGCAAUGGACGAAAGUCUGACGGAGCAACGCCGCGUGAGUGAUGAAGGUUUUCGGAUCGUAAAGCUCUGUUGUUAGGGAAGAACAAGUGCCGUUCAAAUAGGGCGGCACCUUGACGGUACCUAACCAGAAAGCCACGGCUAACUACGUGCCAGCAGCCGCGGUAAUACGUAGGUGGCAAGCGUUGUCCGGAAUUAUUGGGCGUAAAGGGCUCGCAGGCGGUUUCUUAAGUCUGAUGUGAAAGCCCCCGGCUCAACCGGGGAGGGUCAUUGGAAACUGGGGAACUUGAGUGCAGAAGAGGAGAGUGGAAUUCCACGUGUAGCGGUGAAAUGCGUAGAGAUGUGGAGGAACACCAGUGGCGAAGGCGACUCUCUGGUCUGUAACUGACGCUGAGGAGCGAAAGCGUGGGGAGCGAACAGGAUUAGAUACCCUGGUAGUCCACGCCGUAAACGAUGAGUGCUAAGUGUUAGGGGGUUUCCGCCCCUUAGUGCUGCAGCUAACGCAUUAAGCACUCCGCCUGGGGAGUACGGUCGCAAGACUGAAACUCAAAGGAAUUGACGGGGGCCCGCACAAGCGGUGGAGCAUGUGGUUUAAUUCGAAGCAACGCGAAGAACCUUACCAGGUCUUGACAUCCUCUGACAAUCCUAGAGAUAGGACGUCCCCUUCGGGGGCAGAGUGACAGGUGGUGCAUGGUUGUCGUCAGCUCGUGUCGUGGUCCCGCAACGAGCGCAACCCUUGAUCUUAGUUGCCAGCAUUCAGUUGGGCACUCUAAGGUGACUGCCGGUGACAAACCGGAGGAAGGUGGGGAUGACGUCAAAUCAUCAUGCCCCUUAUGACCUGGGCUACACACGUGCUACAAUGGGCAGAACAAAGGGCAGCGAACCGCGAGGUUAAGCCAAUCCCACAAAUCUGUUCUCAGUUCGGAUCGCAGUCUGCAACUCGACUGCGUGAAGCUGGAAUCGCUAGUAAUCGCGGAUCAGCAUGCCGCGGUGAAUACGUUCCCGGGCCUUGUACACACCGCCCGUCACACCACGAGAGUUUGUAACACCCGAAGUCGGUGAGGUAACCUUUUUGGAGCCAGCCGCCGAAGGUGGGACAGAUGAUUGGGGUGAAGUCGUAACAAGGUAGCCGUAUCGGAAGGUGCGGCUGGAUCACCUCCUUU
rnacentral:rRNA from 1 species